CUGCUUUCUUUGUGGCACAUGUACUAACAUCCAAAUGAUACAGAGAGGAUAAGUAUAGCCUCUGUAUCAGGACAGCACAAAAAUGCAUGAAGCAUUCCAUAUUUUU
rnacentral:snRNA from 1 species